AUGGCUCAAUACUUGGUUUAACUUCUUAGAAAUUUGAGACACCCUUUGAAAUAGGAAAUCUGAAAUGGAAUGUAACUUAGUAUUAGGUAAAAAUUGCUUUCAUUGCGUAAGGGCAAAUUCAGUCUAGAUUCAUAGUAGUAAUCAAUUUUUUAUAAAUUUUAUUUUCAUGAGAAAUUCAUACCAAUCAUAUUUGCUAGCUUAUGUUAUUUUGCAGUGAUUGCUUGAGGAUAUUUACUUAAAAAAAUAGUAGAGCCAAAGGCUUAACAAAAGACUCUCCCCCAUUUUAAAAAGGAAACUCAUGUUUUAAUUAGAAAAAUAAUUGUGUAGUUUUAAAAUCAACUUCAUAAUUAUAAAUCUCUGUCAUUACUUUUUAGUCCUCCCAGAUAUUUUUUUAGUUGUUGAAUAAGAAAAUAAAACAGUGUAAUGCAAACAUGCUAAUUUACUAAAGUUUCCUACAACAGUUUAGCCACAUGUUUAUGCCAAGCCAUUAAUCUGAUAAAGCCAAAUCACUAGGACAUCUCCAUGGUUAUUUAGAUUUAAAACUUGACACAUUAAUGAGUUAAUCACACAUACUCCCAUAUGACACCAUACCCAAUUGGUUGCACUUAGAGUCUUUAAAAUACCUGGAGAAGCAAAUGAACUGUGGAGAGGAUUAUCCACAGCAUGUAGUUGUAAGAACAGAAUGCCAUUGCUUUUUGAUUAUACCAUUACAAGAUGGAGCAUAGCCCUGAGGGACAGAAUGGAGGCUUUCCGAAAAUAUCAACACUUCUUUUGAAAUAGACCAGCACUUUUUGAAAGGGUAGUUUCACUUGGUAUAGUUUUUCUUCACUUACCCGUUUAAAUUUUAUUGCUCGCAGUUGUUCUGAAUGAGAGGCUAGAAGAGUAUUAUCAAUUUUGCAUCUCCUUGUGAUACUUACUUUGAAGGAAAAUCACAUACGCUCUCUCAUGGUCUCAUGGUAUCUCAUACAGGGUGAAUAAAAAUGAUUUUUGAUAAAUCUACUAGUAAAUAAUACUAGGAAUUUAAUAAGCUGUCAAACGUAGGUAUAAAAAGAAGGCUUAAAAAUUAAUUUUCCCAAUUGUAUAAUUUGGGGCUGUAUAUUAAACUAAAAAACACAGACAGUUUUAUUAAAUAGUAACCAAAAUGGACUCAAAUAAAACCAGAGGCUAUGUUACCAUUGCUUAGUAAAUGGAAAGAACAUUGUGAGAUGAACUAUCUUUAAAUAUUGUAACAAGUUUAUAACAUCAAUAGUGGAGACAGAAGUCAGCUUUGGAGAAAAUAGAGAUAUUUAUGAAAAAACUACUACAAAUCACAUUUCCAUUACCAAUCCUGGGGAUGGAAAUAUUGCCUUCAGUUUUUACUCCAGCCCUAUACGACACUCUCACUAACCUUUCACUGACAACAUCAUGGCCUUGAAAGCAGGGAUCUCCUCCCACAAAGGCUUCAGAAAUUACAGGACUGGUCUCUCUUAAUAGUUUAGUCCUGCUUUAUUUCCAAAGGGCAAUUAUAAAGCCUCGUGGAUUUACUGGGUUUCUUUACAGACUCCAUAUGGAAGUAAAAUAGAAUGAUCAUUUGGAAAGUCUCCUGGGAAAAAAUUCCUCUUCAAUCAGCAUUUUAAAACUUUUUUAUUUUUGAGUCAGAGUUUUGCUCUUGGUGCCCAGGCUGGAGUGCAAUGGCGCAAUCUCGACUCACUGCAACCUCCGCCUCCCGGGUUCAAGCAAUUCUCCUGACGAGUAGCUGGGCAUGCGCCACCACGUCUGGCUAAUUUUUGUAUUUUUAGUAGAGACGGGGUUUCUCCAUGUUGGUCAGGCUGGUCUCAAACUCCCGACCUCAGGUGAUCCGCCCGCCUCGGCCUCCCAAAGUGCUGAAAUUACAGGUGUGAGCCACUGCACCCGGCCAAACUUAUUGUUUUAAUCCCAGCAUUUAUGUUUAGAAGAAUUAAUUUAAAUAUUUCUUACUAUUUCUCUGUCGAAUGUUUACUCUCAUCUUAUCUCAAUGAAAGAAGUAUUAAAAGUCUUAUGGCCCCAAAAGAAACAAGCCAAACUGUACUGUCUUAAAAGUGAUUCAUUCUGAGCUUGAAACGACUCUGUCAGUGUUUGACAUUGUCAUUUCUAGUGGCAUGUAUCUUAACAUUCUUUUCCUGCUUCAGGAAUGAAAUCACUUGUCCUGCUGAGAAAAUAAGGGGAAAACAAGAUAGAAGUAAAAAACAACACACCUGUUGAACUAUUUUCAUAAAGAUGGCGUUUUCACUUUCAAAAGAAAUGAAAACCAGAUGGUCUAUGCUAAGAAGUGAAGGCAUUUUGUUGUCUUCAGAACUGAUCAACAUGGUCAUGAUCAUCAUCAAAUUUCUUGUUUCCAAAGGCCACUAUUGUAGUACAGUCUCCAGCAGGAUUUUGUACCAUGUGCUGCCUUUGGAAUAAAGUAUUAUAAUGUAUCUUGUCACCUUCAUCAACACCACCAUUAAAUAUGUAAGUUCCUAUAUGUGACUUUUUCUGGGCAUAUUUGCAUCAAAAAUCACAGUCCUUGCCUCCUUGCUUGCUUUUACUCCAUGAAACGCUUCAUGAAGCAGAGCAUGAUUGUCAAGUGACCAGAGGAUGACAUUUGUAAGUGAACGUGGUAUACUCACACAUGCUAUACUCAUACUACAUAACUUAGUUUCUCCAAAUCAACUGCAGUCCGUUUUAUCUAUGAUAUUCCUGGCUUCGUAUAAUGGUUUUGUAAAAUACAUUAAAUACAAUUAAGUCCGUUAUUACUAUGCUGGAAAUAACUAGGUCAGACAAUGAAACCUUAGACUUUUGAUUGGGGCUGUUUGGACUUGAUCCAAUGAUAAGGUAAUAAGGUUGUUGCAAUUUCUCAAAGCAUCUUAAUUCUCAAACUGAAACAUUUAGCAAAUACAUGGUGAAUCUGGUGUAAACUUACAAUCUAACAAAUAAUUUUCUUUCAACUCUUCUCUUUUUCUGCCUAACAAUCUAUACGAAAUUGCCAAUAUCUAAGCAAUCAAAAGUUUCUGAAAUCUCUGUUUCCUUAGUAGAAAUGACCUUGACAACUUAUUUUCUGAGAUACCACUAGGCCUACUGUCUUUCAUGCCAUUUUAUAUAAACAUUUUGAUAGAUACUCUGUCUUUUGUUUUUUAUCUCUUCUCUUUUCAAGAGUCACUUGACUUUUUCAAAUAUUCUUAAAAGAUAGAUUUAGUUAUUGUAUUUUGGUCUACAAUUUUGGACUUGGCAGUUUGUUUUACUAAUGCAGAAUUAUUCUUUUUGUUUCAAACAUAGUUUGCCAUCAUCUGGCUACUACCUAAUCAUGUUGUACUAGUUAUUGUGGAAAGAAAAUUGUACAUACAUUUCCUUGUCCUUUGGGAGAUGUCUUUGAGUCAAACCCACAAGCAUGAACUCUCACCUGAAAGAAAACUGGAAAAGGAGAAACUUUAAAUCAGUAUGUUUUGAAAGGAAGAGAUUUCCAGACUUUUUAAAGCAAAUUGGAAUCGUUUUAUUUUUUUGUUUGGGCCUUAGGCACAAUAGAAGCAAAUGUUGCAAUAUUAAAUAUAAUAGGGAGAGUUCACUGUUUCCUGGGACAUUGUGGUCAUGUCCUUAAUCCUUCAUUGUGAUGCCCCUUCUUGGAGUUGGCAUUUUGUGACAAUUCAUAGAGAUCUUGCAGCAAUAUUUGGCUAUUGGUUUUAUUAACUUAAAAUUCAACAGAAAUGGAGUAAUUAAAAAAAAAAACAAAAAACAGAGAAGAAUUGCAAAAUCUGAAGUGGAAUGGCACUUCCUUGGGUAUGUAAGGGUUGUUUUUAGAUAAAACUCCCGAUUUGUUCUUCCUACACUUUAAUAGUCUCAAAUUCUUUCUGGGGAAGCAACGUCAGUGUCUACCUCCACAGUAACUAUGAUAUAGGAAAUUGUCCUUUCAGUGGUUUCUAGGUAUAACAAACAAGCCGUUAAAAAUGAGUGACCAUUUUGUAGGUUACAGCCUCAGCAAUCUGUGUCAUUUGAAAGCAAAUAUCCUGAUAUUUUUAAAUAAGGUGAGCAGGGCAGGCAGGAAACCAAUAUUUAGUACUUUUGUGAUUAAACAUUCUAGACCAGGCUUGUUGAUAUGUAUGCCAAUAGCCUAGAAUUUUUGGCUUAGUGUAAAAUAAAAAUGUCUUUUCUAUUGUGGUCUGAUAUCCGUUUCUGUAAUAAGAUCAGUUUGUUGUCCUCUGUGCACCAGUGGUUUUGCCCUUAAUUUUUUUUGGCUAGCAUCACCAAGAUCUGUCAUCCAGAGCUGCUGAGAAAAAUACAUGUUGCCAAACUUUUCUUAAAAUUGUGCUGCCAGUGGUAUUUUCCCAGAUGUGAAAAAUAAUAAUCUAAUAAAGGAUUAAUAUCUAAUAACAAUACCAUUGUUGAACAUGCUCAUGGAAUGUCCACCUUCUUCUGAUUCCUUUUUUGUAUUUGAAAAUGCAAUGGUGUGUUCCAAAUUAUUGUUGGUGUUGUUAAUGUCAUGACUCUCCUUUGAAUAGAAUAAAAUAACCCCUUUUGUUUUGUGUUUUCUACUGAAUUAGAUUUUCCUCUAGUCCUAUGUGAAUAAAAAGCUAUUUGAAAUAAAA
rnacentral:lncRNA from 1 species